ensembl:lncRNA
AUGAGGAUCUGCCAAUCACUAGAGUACUGCCACGCCCCUCUGCCCUCCCUCUCUGCCCUCCAGAACAAAAUUGAUAAGAUACAGGUCUUAAUAGCAGAGACAAAGGAAAUUGACAGCCAGUGGGGGGAUCUUACCAAGAUAACAACAAUUCUUAUUGGUGGAAUUAGCCCAGACUCUGCCCAGGUGUUAUGGGAGCACCUAGAAAAAGAAAAAGCAAGGUGGCUAGAGGUGAAGGAGAAGGUCACAUACACCUUGCAGAGGUCACACAGUCUUCUGAAAGUGUGGCAGAGAUACUCUGAUGUGAGACGCUCCUGCUCAGAGCAGCUCCAACAUCUCAAAGAGCAGCUCAACACACACACCAAAACACCCGCUGACAAUAAACAACUCACACACAGCAUCGCAGAGCUGAAGACUGUGAGUACAAUGCAAAGACACAGAUAUUCACAUAUAAGCAUCCAUUUAAACACACACACACUUAAGUAG